rnacentral:rRNA from 1 species
AAAUUGAAGAGUUUGAUCAUGGCUCAGAUUGAACGCUGGCGGCAGGCCUAACACAUGCAAGUCGAGCGGUAGCACAGAGAGCUUGCUCUCGGGUGACGAGCGGCGGACGGGUGAGUAAUGUCUGGGAAACUGCCUGAUGGAGGGGGAUAACUACUGGAAACGGUAGCUAAUACCGCAUAAUGUCGCAAGACCAAAGUGGGGGACCUUCGGGCCUCAUGCCAUCAGAUGUGCCCAGAUGGGAUUAGCUAGUAGGUGGGGUAAUGGCUCACCUAGGCGACGAUCCCUAGCUGGUCUGAGAGGAUGACCAGCCACACUGGAACUGAGACACGGUCCAGACUCCUACGGGAGGCAGCAGUGGGGAAUAUUGCACAAUGGGCGCAAGCCUGAUGCAGCCAUGCCGCGUGUGUGAAGAAGGCCUUCGGGUUGUAAAGCACUUUCAGCGGGGAGGAAGGCGAUAAGGUUAAUAACCUUGGCGAUUGACGUUACCCGCAGAAGAAGCACCGGCUAACUCCGUGCCAGCAGCCGCGGUAAUACGGAGGGUGCAAGCGUUAAUCGGAAUUACUGGGCGUAAAGCGCACGCAGGCGGUCUGUCAAGUCGGAUGUGAAAUCCCCGGGCUCAACCUGGGAACUGCAUUCGAAACUGGCAGGCUAGAGUCUUGUAGAGGGGGUAGAAUUCCAGGUGUAGCGGUGAAAUGCGUAGAGAUCUGGAGGAAUACCGGUGGCGAAGGCGGCCCCCUGGACAAAGACUGACGCUCAGGUGCGAAAGCGUGGGGAGCAAACAGGAUUAGAUACCCUGGUAGUCCACGCCGUAAACGAUGUCGAUUUGGAGGUUGUGCCCUUGAGGCGUGGCUUCCGGAGCUAACGCGUUAAAUCGACCGCCUGGGGAGUACGGCCGCAAGGUUAAAACUCAAAUGAAUUGACGGGGGCCCGCACAAGCGGUGGAGCAUGUGGUUUAAUUCGAUGCAACGCGAAGAACCUUACCUGGUCUUGACAUCCACAGAACUUUCCAGAGAUGGAUUGGUGCCUUCGGGAACUGUGAGACAGGUGCUGCAUGGCUGUCGUCAGCUCGUGUUGUGAAAUGUUGGGUUAAGUCCCGCAACGAGCGCAACCCUUAUCCUUUGUUGCCAGCGGUUAGGCCGGGAACUCAAAGGAGACUGCCAGUGAUAAACUGGAGGAAGGUGGGGAUGACGUCAAGUCAUCAUGGCCCUUACGACCAGGGCUACACACGUGCUACAAUGGCAUAUACAAAGAGAAGCGACCUCGCGAGAGCAAGCGGACCUCAUAAAGUAUGUCGUAGUCCGGAUUGGAGUCUGCAACUCGACUCCAUGAAGUCGGAAUCGCUAGUAAUCGUAGAUCAGAAUGCUACGGUGAAUACGUUCCCGGGCCUUGUACACACCGCCCGUCACACCAUGGGAGUGGGUUGCAAAAGAAGUAGGUAGCUUAACCUUCGGGAGGGCGCUUACCACUUUGUGAUUCAUGACUGGGGUGAAGUCGUAACAAGGUAACCGUAGGGGAACCUGCGGUUGGAUCACCUCCUUACCUUAAAGAA